UACCAGCACCCCGAGUGGUCGGGACGUUUAUUGGGCCUAAAGCAUCCGUAGCCGGUUCUACAAGUCUUCCGUUAAAUCCACCUGCUUAACAGAUGGGCUGCGGAAGAUACUAUAGAGCUAGGAGGCGGGAGAGGCAAGCGGUACUCGAUGGGUAGGGGUAAAAUCCGUUGAUCCAUUGAAGACCACCAGUGGCGAAGGCGAAUACCUGGCCUGUUCUUGACGCUGAGGCGCGAAAGCUAGGGGGAGCAAACGGG
rnacentral:rRNA from 1 species